GUGGCGCUCGGGUGGCGGCUCCGGUUCGCCGCCGCCCCGGGCGACGCGGCCCCGGAGAAAUCCCCCUCCUCCGGGUUCUGCAAGGGUCCCUGAGUGGGCUGUAUGUUGAGACUGGAAGACAGAAAGAUUCCCAAAGAUCUGCUGAAUGGAACAGGCUGAGAGACUGAAGGACACUUGGUUGAAGAUUAAAUGUUACCUCUUCACUGUAACUGCACCACACUGGAAAUGAAGCACAUGACUGAGCAUUGUUGGAUCCAAUUCCUGUUUUUUCUUCCUGUACGUCUUCUCUUUGGUAGCAAAACCCCAGAACAAACUUCUUGGUAAUUUGAUACUCUGGAUUGUUACAUAAGUGAAUGA